GGCUGAAGAGAGCAGUCUGUUGACAGUUAGAAUGGACACUGUCAUGGAGUCGCUCUCUUCAGAAAC
rnacentral:pre_miRNA from 14 species